AUAAGAAGCAAAAUAGAUGCAUUUAGUUUCGACCUAAAAUAAUGAUUAAUAUCCUUAUU
rnacentral:tRNA from 1 species